GGGCCCGCACAAGCGGUGGAGCAUGUGGUUUAAUUCGAUGCAACGCGAAGAACCUUACCAGGGCUUGACAUACUACAAAUUCUUUUGAGAAAAAGAAGUGCCUUCGGGAAUGUAGAUACAGGUGGUGCAUGGCUGUCGUCAGCUCGUGUCGUGAGAUGUUGGGUUAAGUCCCGCAACGAGCGCAACCCACGUCUUUAGUUGCCAGCAUUUAGUUGGGCACUCUAGAGAGACUGCCGGUGUUAAACCGGAGGAAGGCGGGGAUGACGUCAAGUCCUCAUGGCCCUUACGGGUAGGGCUACACACGUACUACAAUGGCAGAAACAAACCGUUGCAAGACCGCGAGGUGGAGCUAAUCGGUAAAACACUGUCUCAGUCCAGAUUGGAGUCUGCAACUCGACUCCAUGAAGUUGGAAUCGCUAGUAAUCGC
rnacentral:rRNA from 1 species